ACUUUCAGUAUAUGCUAAUGAGGUGCUAACUGGCACCGGCCAGGCAAACUGCCAUUCUGACGUCAGUGCCGCCUGCCGCAGCGCCGGCCAGCUCAUCAAUAUUCCUCCCCUCCCUCUGCCUCUCCCCACUCUGUAAUGAAGAGAGAGGGGAGGAAUAUUGAUGAGCUGGGUGGCGCUGCGGCCAGGGGCACUGAUGUCAGAGUGCCAGUUAGCCCAGCCGAUGCCAGUAAGCACUUCAUUAACAUAUACUGAAAAUAGAACAUUACAGCCGAACGGCGUGGCGGAUCUGGGCACGGAAUCUUAGAAUUCGACUCUGAAAGUCUAAUUGAUACAAACAACUAUAAAUGUCUUCACAUUCCUCAUGCUUCUAUAGAUAUAUUGCAUUUGCAAAUGGCGGCACAGAACAUCACAAUGCAGUAGCAAAUCUGAAUUGUACUGAAAACUUAAAGGUGCUGUGUAACAGAGAACCUUAAAAACAAGUGAAUGAGGAGGUUGAUAAGUGAUGUACACCUUCUUUGACUGCAAUAACUGCAUGCAUAUGCAGACCUACACAAGCACUGUGCAAGCACAAAGCAAACAUGCAGACAGAGGAUGCUAUGGAUACAGUAGUCACAAGAUGACCAGCAAGGAAAAAUGUGCAAGGCUUUACAGACAAGGAUAUUGCUCCUUGUAAAAUUGCCCCCUAAAUCAAGCAUUUAUUGAAUUAUCAAGAACUUAGAGGAGAGUGGCUCAAUUGCGGUGAAGAAGGCUUCGGGGUGCCCACCAAAGUCCAGCAAGUGCCAGGGCCAUCUCUCCUAAGGGGACACAUAUGGAAUUGUUCCAGCACCAGUGCAGAGCUUGCUCAGGAACAGCAGCAGGACGGUAUUAGAGCAUCUGCACGCACAGUGAGACUGAGGCUUUUGGAAGCUGGCCUGGUGUCCAGAAAGGCAGCAAAGAAACCAAUACUCUCCAAGAAAAACACCACGGGCAGACUGACAUAGGGUACAGGGAUUGGACAGAGAAGAUUGGGGUAAAGUUAUUUUCUGAGGAAGCUCCCUUCAGACUGUUUGGGACAUCUGGAAGAAUAAUUGUCCAGAUAAAAAAAGAUGGAACGCCAUCAAUCUAUGGCGGGUGAGCAGGAACUCCUAGGCACAGUUUUUUGUUGGUUUACAGAUUGAGGAAUGGGAUUUCUACCGAUUUUAGACCUAGAUUUUGUGGUUUUGGUGUUUAAACUAGCAUCUUUUGAAGCAACAAGACUCUUCCCUGUAUUUUCCUCAGUUACUGCUUGUUUAGCCAAGCUUUCAGGAUGAUUUUCAGCUCUGAUUUCUACAAUCGACGUAUCCGUUUCAGUAAGAAGAUUAUUGCUGGGAUCUAAAACUUCAGCAGAAAUAAAAGAAGUUUCUGCAAUGUCAUCUUGUGU